rnacentral:rRNA from 1 species
UUUUUAAAUUUUUUGCUAUUAUAAGAUUUUUUAUUGCUAAUAGUUAAAAUAGUCAUAAUUAUUCCUAAAAUAAUAAAAAUAAUUCCAAAUAAUUUUAUUGACAUUUAUAACACUUCCUUAUUUAUUUAUUUAUUUAACUUUAUCAUAUUUUUAUUUAAGUUUUCCAGUUUUUUACUAAUAUAUAUCUUUUAUACACUAAAAAAGACCUUUCCAGGUCUUUUAUGCUAAAACUCUUCUUAUUUCUAAAUUAUUAUUUAAAUAUUUAAUAAAAAUAGGUAUAAAGAUUAAUUGAAUUAAUAUCCCAGGUAUGGCCAUAGUUAUAUUUCCAAAUACAAAUAAUAAAGGAUUUACUUUUGGAGCUACAGUUAUAGAAACUAAAUAUGCGCCAAUUACUGCAAAUAAUCGUCCACCUAACAUUGUGCAAAGUAAAGUUAUGUAUAUUUUUUUAGUUUUAUUAAAUAUAUAACCUGUUAAAAAACCAUAGGCACAUAGUUCAAAGGCCAUUAUAGGCAUUACUGGUAUAAUCGGUGGCAUCCCUGUCAUAAAUCCACUAAGUACUGGUGUGAUAAUUCCUAUUAACAUCCCACAAACUGGUCCUAAUAAAAAUCCUCCUAUUAACACCGGUAUGUGCAUUGGUAAAAAUAUAUUUCCUGCUAAAUUUACAGUAUGAAAUAUCAUCGGUAAUAUAAUUCCGAAAGCUAUAAACAUUGAUGAAAAAGCUAUUUUUUUACUUUUCAUUUUAUUUUCUCCUCCAGAUAUUAAUUUUUAACUAAAACCAAAUAAUAAAUUUGAUCAUUUUCAAAAGCUUCUAAAACCUUUAAGCCAUUUUUUUCAAAUAUUUUUCUUUGAUUAUUAACAGGUAUUAACCUAGCUUUACUUACAGACUUGUCUUUUUCUUUGUGCAUAUUAUUUAAGAACUCUCUACUAUUUGAAUGAGCUAUAAUGAGUUUUCCAUUUUUAUUUAAAUUUUUAUUUAUUAAAGUUUUUACUGUUUUUGUUUUGUUUUCCAAGUGAGGAAACAUUGAAUAUAAUAUGAUUUUGUCAUACUUUUCAUAUAUUUCUUCUUCUUCUACAUCCUUUAUUUCAAAUUCUAUAUUCUCUAAAUUUUUAUAUUUUUCUUUUGCUAUAUUUAGCAUGCCAGUUGAAAUAUCAACUCCUUUUAUAUAUCCCCCUUUAUUUAAAGCUUUUAUAAAAGGUAUUAUUACGCCCGUUCCCGUUCCAACAUCUAAUAUUCUUUCGUUUGAUUUUAUAUCUAAUUUUGAUAACAGUAAAUUUAUUUUUUCUUCAUUUACUUCUAUUAUAGAGUCCCAUUCUUUUGCUAUUUUAUUAAAAAACUCUACUUGAUUCAUAAUACCUCCUUAAAUAUUUAUUUUAUAAAACAAAAAAGCCAUGAAGAGUUUAAACCCUUCAUGGCUUUUUUAUUAUCUAAAAAAAUUAUAGUUUCAUUUAGUAUCAUUUGUCAACUAAUAUUAGUUUUUAUUUAUUAUAUAACUUCAGGUAACUCAUCAUAAUAUUUAUACUUAUCUUCUUUGAUUGCAAUUGUUGCUGCAAUUAUUGUUAAAAUACUCAUUACUAUAAACAUCAUAAAGCCUUUCUUAUAUCCAUUUAUUCCAACUCCAUUAAUUUGUAUCAUAAAUCCUAUAAAUAAAUUUAUAAUUCCACUUCCCAUAAAUUCUGCAGUAUUUAUUAUACUUGUAGAUAAUCCUAAAUAUUCUUCCUUAUUUUUAUAUUUAACGUCACUAAAAGCUUGUAAAUGAGUCAUAUUUAUACAUCCAAUCAAAAAAAAUGCAACAGGUAAAAAUACUAUGGAUGGUUUUACAUCUUUAGCAAUUACUAUAAAUGUCCAUAUAAAUAGGUUUAAUAAUCCACCUAGCCUUACUAUAUUAAACUUAUUCCCCUUAUAUUUUUUAAAUAAAAUAUUCAUAACUAUAGCCCCAAAUACAAGUCCAUAAGUUAAAAAAGAAACUAUAAAUGCAGAUACACUUUUACUUAAACCAUAAAUAUCAACUAUAUAACUAACUCCCCAUAAACUACUAAAAGCAGUUGUUACUCCUACUAAAGAAAACAUUAUAACAGAAUUAUAUAAUGUUGAUUUUUUUGUUAAAACAGAUUUAAGACCUAAUUUUAUAUUUCUAUUUGUAAUUUUUUCUUUAUUUUUAUUUAGAUUAAAUCCACAUUCUUGAGGAUUAUUUCUUACAACAAAGUAUAUACUUAUCCCAAAUAAAAUCCCUAUUAAACCUAUUAAUAUAAAUGAACUUCUCCAACCUAAGAUUUCUGUAAGUAAUACAAGGGGAAAUGUUGCAAACACACUUCCUAAAUUCCCUAUAAGUGAAAACUUUGCAGAAGCUGGUGCAAACUCUUCUUUUUUAAACCAAUUUCCUUGAACUUUAAACAUAGAAAGUAAAAUAACUGAUGUUCCAGCACCCACCAUUACUCUAGAUACAUAUGCCAAUUCUAUAUUUUGUAUAAAUCCAAAUAAUAUAGAACCAAUACCUGCUAUUAUCAUUCCUAAACUACUUAUAUUUCUAGCUCCGAACUUAUCUAUAAUAACUCCUGCUGGUAUUUGCAUAAAUGCAUAUGAGUAUAAAGUAAAUGAAGCUAUAUUUGAUAUUUCUAUAGAGUUAAACCCUAAUUCAUUUGAUAAGUUAUCAGAAAUAACCGCAGUUGACAUUCUUAAAAACAAAACAAGCACAAAUGAAAUUGUAAGCACCCACCAUAUACUCCAUUUAACCCUAGAAUACGUUUUCUCUUGAAACUCCAUAAUUUCCACAACCACCUUUUUAAAAAUAUAUAACCCUAAUAAAUAUUAUCAUUCCACUAAAUAUUUUUCAAUAUAAUGAAAUAUUUUUUUAUUUUUUCAUAUAUAUGAAAUUUUAAAUUUGAUAACCUCUACUUUAUUAAGUUGAGUUAAAGAUUUGCUAGGAUAUAUUAAUAUAUCAAGAUUAUAUAGUGCUUUUUAUAAACACAAUAAAUAGAUAUACGUAUAUUAAAAUCCUGUAUAUCUAUUUAUCAAUAUCUUAUCUUUUCAAUCACUUGCUCAAUAUUAAGUUUUUUAACUAUUUUUUUAAAUAAUUUAAAGCAAAUUAAUCCUAUAGCAGAUCCUAUAAUAUUAAAAAUAACAUCAUCGAUAUUACUUACACUAAAUAUUGUAAACAAUUGAAUUAUCUCUAUUAAGCUUGAUGUAAUUGUACUAAUUAAUAUUAUUUUUAAAAAGCUAUUUAUUUUCUUAAAAAGUAAUGGAAGCAAAAAUCCUAGAGGUAUAAAGUAAAUUACAUUUAAAAUUAUGCCCUUAAUAAUUUUAUUGUUAUGUAUUCCGUCUUUUAAAAUAUUUACCGUCUCUUUAAAUGGAAUAAUAUUAAUAAUACCAUCUACGCCUGAAAAAGUAUAUUGAUAUGAAUUUAGUGGACUUGAAAUCAUAAUUAUACAAAAUUUAAAAAUUGUCAAUCUUAUAAGUAUUAAGAAAUAUAUUACUAGUAUUAGCAAAGCUCCCUCUUUAGUUAAAUCUAAAGUUCGCCUUAAUUUAGCUAAAUAUAACCUAAAUAUAGCCCAUACAACAAUUGUUAAACCCACAAUUGUUAUAAAGUUCAAAUGCAUCAUUAUAUUACUCCCUUUGAUUUAUUGUCUAACUUACAUUAUAUCAAACUGAUAUUUAUAAUUAUUUACAAAAAAGUAAAAAAAUACUUAAUUUAUUCUUAAUAUAAAAAGAGAGGUAGAAACCUCUCUUUUAUUUAUGUAAAAAGAAAACUUAUUAUAAUCUAUCAAGACCUUGUUUUAAAUCAUCUAUUAUAUCUUCAGAAUCUUCUAGUCCUACAGAAAUUCUUAUUAAACCAUCUGAAAUACCAGCUUCAGCUCUUUCCUCAGCUGUAUAAGGAGAGUGAGUCAUUGAAGCAGGAUGUUGUAUUAAUGUCUCGCAAUCACCUAAGCUAACUGCAAGAGUACAUAAUUCUAAAGAGUUAAGUAGUUUUUUACCUGCCUCUAGGCCACCUUUAACUUCAAAUGCUAUCAUACCACCNGGGUACGAUGGGGAGCGAAAUUAAGUAGCGAAGUAGCUGAUUUCACACUGUCGAGAAAAGUUUCUAUCGAGAUUAAAGGUGCCCGUACCGCAAACCGACACAGGUGGGUGAGGAGAGUAUCCUAAGGCCAGCGAGAGAACUGUUGUUAAGGAACUCGGCAAAAUGACCCCGUAACUUAGGGAGAAGGGGUGCCACGUUAGGGUUAACGCCCGAGGUGGCCGCAGAGAAUAGGCCCAAGCGACUGUUUACCAAAAACACAGGUUUCUGCUAAGUCGCAAGACGAUGUAUAGGAGCUGACGCCUGCCCGGUGCUGGAAGGUUAAGGGGAUCUGUUAGGAUUUAUCCGAAGCAGUGAACUUAAGCCCCAGUAAACGGCGGCCGUAACUAUAACGGUCCUAAGGUAGCGAAAUUCCUUGUCGGGUAAGUUCCGACCCGCACGAAAGGCGUAACGAUUUGGGCACUGUCUCAACAACAGACUCGGUGAAAUUGUAAUCCCGGUGAAGAUGCCGGGUACCUGCGACAGGACGGAAAGACCCCAUGGAGCUUUACUGUAGCUUGACAUUGAAUUUUGGUGCUACAUGUACAGGAUAGGUGGGAGGCUAUGAAGUCGGGACGCCAGUCUCGGCGGAGCCAUCCUUGGGAUACCACCCUUGUAGUACUGAGAUUCUAACCAGAUACCUUGAAUCAGGUAUUGGGACACUGUCAGGUGGGCAGUUUGACUGGGGCGGUCGCCUCCCAAAGAGUAACGGAGGCGCUCAAAGGUUCUCUCAGCACGGUCGGAAAUCGUGCGUAGAGUGUAAAGGCAGAAGAGAGCUUGAUUGCAAGACAUACAGGUCGAGCAAGGACGAAAGUCGGACUUAGUGAUCCGGUGGUUCCGCAUGGAAGGGCCAUCGCUCAACGGAUAAAAGCUACCCUGGGGAUAACAGGCUUAUCUCCCCCAAGAGUCCACAUCGACGGGGAGGUUUGGCACCUCGAUGUCGGCUCAUCACAUCCUGGGGCUGUAGUAGGUCCCAAGGGUUGGGCUGUUCGCCCAUUAAAGUGGUACGCGAGCUGGGUUCAGAACGUCGUGAGACAGUUCGGUCCCUAUCCGUCGCAGGCGUAGGAAAUUUGAGGAGACCUGUCCUUAGUACGAGAGGACCGGGAUGGACGUACCUCUGGUGUACCAGUUGUUCUGCCAAGGGCAUGGCUGGGUAGCUAUGUACGGAAUGGAUAAGCGCUGAAAGCAUCUAAGCGCGAAGCCAACUUCAAGAUAAGAUUUCCCACCGUAAGGGUAAGAUCCCAGGAAGACUACCUGGUUGAUAGGUCAAAGGUGUAAGUGCAGCAAUGCAUGUAGCUUAUUGAUACUAAUAGAUCGAGGACUUGACCAA